CCACACGACUCUCGGCAACGGAUAUCUCGGCUCUCGCAUCGAUGAAGAACGUAGCGAAAUGCGAUACCUGGUGUGAAUUGCAGAAUCCCGCGAACCAUCGAGUCUUUGAACGCAAGUUGCGCCUGAGGCCACUUGGCCGAGGGCACGCCUGCUUGGGCGUCACGU
rnacentral:rRNA from 1 species